AGCACUCUCUCCUUGUUUCUAUGGCAGGUUACUGGCUACGACUUUACGGAAAGCACGGUUUGCUUUUGGUUAUUUGUGUGUUUGUAUAAACCAGGAGGAAGAGGAAAGCCCAGUUGCCAGGCAGAGAUGGGAAAAGAGAUCUGUGAGCAGAAAUCCUGGCUGGAAACAUCUGUGGAAGGGAAAACACUCAUCAUCUUGGGUCUCCAGUUAAUGUGGCUUAACCUUGAGCCUCAACAUCUUCCAUGGCAGCAGAGCCAAAUGGUGACAUCCUGUGCUGUUCUCUCCAAGGAAAAAUAUGAGCUCCUCGACCCGGAGGUAACUCCGCAGCGCAGAGAUGGAGGGACGACAACCAGAUCCCUUGUGGUCCCACUGGGUCAGCUCACAGUGAAAAACAACAGGUCUGCAAAAUCAGCGUGUAAUUUUGGUGGAAGGAGUUUAACUGUUUGUCCAAGAGGACAUGCAGGGAUUUGGCUGGGACAGACCAACACGGAGGCAAUGGCAAAAGGUCAGCAAAAUGUAUCUUGCAAAAUUUUCUUUGUUCUGCGUUUGAUUUACAAGAAGGGGAAUACAAACCUCUUAUUUAGAGAUAACUGUGGGUCUGACACUGGAAAAAAAGCUAUGCAGUAAAAAUAAUAAGUGAGUCAUGAUGAUAAUGAGGCUAUAGUUAUGCAAUACUGAGUUAUCCUGAUUUCCUUUGCAGGCAAUGCACGAUUGUCCAUUUUGAUAUUCAAGGUAAUCUGUGUUGCUCCUGCCUUGGGGCCUGUAUUGAUACCUCCGUGCAGUUCCAUCCUGCAGAAGAGAAUAUACCAAUAUUUGCAGAAUAAUAACUUUCACAGUCUCUUUCACAACCAAACAUACCAUAACAGUAUUUGUACUGCUUGGUUUGCUGACAGUAAUGUUCAAAGAGGCAUUUUAUGAUGUGUUUCUUCUCCUAAUCUAUAUUUGCCUUCAGUUGAUUUUGAAAACGUUUUCCAGCUCCUGAGUCCUAAUGAACCAGCCAUUUAUGUGCUUGUCUUACAGAAUCAAGCACAGAAUGCCAGAUUGGAAGGGACCUCAAGUAUGAAGGGAAGAGACCUCAAGGAUCGUGUUUCCUCAACAAUAAACUCUCCGAACUCCCAAGCA
rnacentral:lncRNA from 1 species